AUAAGAAACCAUAGUUUAUCGAUAAUUAUAACUUCACGUAUAAGACAUUACUCCUUAUAAUUUAGAUUUAAAGGCAGCCAUAGAACACUGGCAAGGUUUUGCUAAAUUAAACUCUUAAAAAAAUUGGAUUUCGCAGACCUUGAAAUUAGUAGUAAACAAGGCGGCAUGUUUCGUUCUUCUUUAGUUGACUCAGAGCUGCUUUUCAAAUUGAUUAUAAAAAUUAAGCUGGAUGCUUCUGUAAAUAAAAGAACAAUCGUAAAAUUUUGCUCUCUAUGGAUAAAAUGUAGAUUUGUUAGGAAGCAUUUGUUCUUUUUUUUUAUUUACUGGCUCAACUAACAUGAUCGGAGCUUUGGCAAAUUGCAGAGAAAAGGAUUUCUACAAUGUUGAUUUAUUCUUCAGAUUUCUGAUUAAUGAUAGUAGUUACUGAUGU